rnacentral:rRNA from 1 species
CCUACGGGGGGCAGCAGUGGGGAAUAUUGCGCAAUGGGCGAAAGCCUGACGCAGCGACGCCGCGUGAGGGAUGAAGGUCUUCGGAUCGUAAACCUCUGUCAGCAGGGAAGAACGGUCACUGUGCUAAUCAGCAGUGAAUUGACGGUACCUGCAAAGGAAGCACCGGCUAACUCCGUGCCAGCAGCCGCGGUAAUACGGAGGGUGCGAGCGUUAAUCGGAAUUACUGGGCGUAAAGCGCUCGUAGGCGGUAUGUCAAGUCAAGGGUGAAAUCCCCGCGCUCAACGUGGGAACUGCCUUUGAAACUGGCAGACUGGAGUGUGUGAGAGGAUAGUGGAAUUCCAGGUGUAGGAGUGAAAUCCGUAGAUAUCUGGAAGAACAUCGGUGGCGAAGGCGACUAUCUGGCACAUCACUGACGCUGAGGAGCGAAAGCGUGGGUAGCAAACAGGAUUAGAUACCCGGGUAGUC